rnacentral:snRNA from 1 species
AGCUUUGCGCAGUGGCAGUAUCGUAGCCAAUGAGGUUUACCCGAGGCGCGAUUAUUGCUAAUUGAAAAAGAAAAAAAAAAAAAAAUACUUGCCCAAGUUGAUGUGGUGAGUUAGUGACACAGUGUACAACCU